rnacentral:rRNA from 1 species
UAGGGAAUCUUCGGCAAUGGGGGCAACCCUGACCGAGCAACGCCGCGUGAGUGAAGAAGGUUUUCGGAUCGUAAAGCUCUGUUGUAAGAGAAGAACGUGUGUGAGAGUGGAAAGUUCACACAGUGACGGUAACUUACCAGAAAGGGACGGCUAACUAGGUGCCAGCAGCCGCGGUAAUACGUAGGUCCCGAGCGUUGUCCGGAUUUAGUGGGCGUAAAGCGAGCGCAGGCGGUUUAAUAAGUCUGAAGUUAAAGGCAGUGGCUUAACCAUUGUUCGCUUUGGAAACUGUUAAACUUGAGUGCAGAAGGGGAGAGUGGAAUUCCAUGUGUAGCGGUGAAAUGCGUAGAUAUAUGGAGGAACACCGGUGGCGAAAGCGGCUCUCUGGUCUGUAACUGACGCUGAGGCUCGAAAGCGUGGGGAGCAAACAGG